rnacentral:rRNA from 1 species
UUGGAGGGCAAGUCUGGUGCCAGCAGCCGCGGUAAUUCCAGCUCCAAUAGCGUAUAUUAAAGUUGUUGCAGUUAAAAAGCUCGUAGUUGAAUUUCGGGGUCAGUAGGUUGGUCAUGCCACUGGUAUGUACUGGCCUCACUGAUUCCUCCUUCCUGAUGAGCCGUAAUGCCAUUAAUUUGGUGUUGCGAGGAAUCUGGACUGUUACUUUGAAAAAAUUAGAGUGUUUAAAGCAGGCUAACGCUUGAAUACAUUAGCGUGGAAUAAUGAAAUAGGACGUUCGAUCUUAUUUUGUUGAUUUCUAAGAUUGACGUAAUGAUUAAUAGGGAUAGUUGGGGGCAUUAGUAUUCAAUUGUCAGAGGUGAAAUUCUUGGAUUUAUUGAAGACUAACUACUGCGAAAGCAUUUGCCAAGGAUGUUUUCAUUAAUCAAGAACGAAAGUUAGGGGAUCGAAGACGAUCAGAUACCGUYGUAGUCUUAACCAUAAACUAUGCCGACUAGGGAUCGGAUGAUGUUAAUUUUUUAAUGACUCAUUCGGCGCCUUACGGGAAAC